AUUGAACGCUGGCGGCAGGCCUAACACAUGCAAGUCGAACGGUAGCACAGAGGAGCUUGCUCCUUGGGUGACGAGUGGCGGACGGGUGAGUAAUGUCUGGGAAACUGCCUGAUGGAGGGGGAUAACUACUGGAAACGGUAGCUAAUACCGCAUAACGUCGCAAGACCAAAGAGGGGGACCUUCGGGCCUCUUGCCAUCGGAUGUGCCCAGAUGGGAUUAGCUAGUAGGUGGGGUAACGGCUCACCUAGGCGACGAUCCCUAGCUGGUCUGAGAGGAUGACCAGCCACACUGGAACUGAGACACGGUCCAGACUCCUACGGGAGGCAGCAGUGGGGAAUAUUGCACAAUGGGCGCAAGCCUGAUGCAGCCAUGCCGCGUGUAUGAAGAGGGCCUUCGGGUUGUAGAGUACUUUCAGCGAGGAGGAAGGUGUUGUGGUUAAUAACCACAGCAAUUGACGUUACCCGCAGAAGAAGCACCGGCUAACUCCGUGCCAGCCGCCGCCGUAA
rnacentral:rRNA from 1 species